rnacentral:rRNA from 1 species
GACGAACGCUGGCGGCGUGCUUAACACAUGCAAGUCGAACGGAAAGGCCCUGCUUUUGUGGGGUGCUCGAGUGGCGAACGGGUGAGUAACACGUGAGUAACCUGCCCUUGACUUUGGGAUAACUUCAGGAAACUGGGGCUAAUACCGGAUAGGAGCUCCUGCUGCAUGGUGGGGGUUGGAAAUUUUCGGCGGUUGGGGAUGGACUCGCGGCUUAUCAGCUUGUUGGUGGGGUAGUGGCUUACCAAGGCUUUGACGGGUAGCCGGCCUGAGAGGGUGACCGGCCGCAAUGGGACUGGGCUAGGGCACAGGAUCCUUCGGGAGGCAGCAGUGGGGUAUAUUGCACAAUGGGAGGAAGCCUGAUGCAGCAACGCCGCGUGCGGGAUGACGGCCUUCGGGUUGUAAGAGGCUUUCGCCUGUGACGAAGCGUGAGUGACGGUAAUUGGUAAAGAAGCACCGGCUAACUACGUG